rnacentral:rRNA from 1 species
AAUUUUGGACAAUGGGGGAAACCCUGAUCCAGCAAUCCCGCGUGUAUGAUGAAGGCCUUCGGGUUGUAAAGUACUUUUUGCAGAGAAGAAAAGGUAUCUCCUACUACGAAAUACUGCUGACGAUAUCUGCAGAAUAAGCACCGGAUAACUACGUGCCAGCCGCCGCGGUAAUACGUAGGGUCCAAGCGUUAAUCGGAAUUACUGGGUGUAAAGCGUGUGUAGGCGGUUCGGAAAGAAAGAUGUGAAAUCCCAGGGCUCAACCUUGAAACUGCAUUUUUAACUGCCGAGCUAGAGUAUGUCAGAGGGGGGUAGAAUUCCACGUGUAGCAGUGAAAUGCGUAGAUAUGUGGAGGAAUACCGAUGGCGAAGACAGCCCCCUGGGAUAAUACUGACGCCCAGACACGAAAGCGUGGGGAGCAAAC